UACGUAGGUGGCAAGCGUUGUCCGGAAUUAUUGGGCGUAAAGCGCGCGCAGGCGGCCUUUUAAGUCUGAUGUGAAAGCCCACGGCUCAACCGUGGAAGGUCAUUGGAAACUGAAAGGCUUGGGUACAGAAGAGGAAAGCGGAAUUCCACGUGUAGCGGUGAAAUGCGUAGAGAUGUGGAGGAACACCAGUGGCGAAGGCGGCUUUCUGGUCUGUAACUGACGCUGAGGCGCGAAAGCGUGGGGAGCAAACAGG
rnacentral:rRNA from 1 species